rnacentral:rRNA from 1 species
UACGAAGGGGGCUAGCGUUGUUCGGAAUUACUGGGCGUAAAGCGCACGUAGGCUGACAUUUAAGUCAGGGGUGAAAUCCCGGAGCUCAACUCCGGAACUGCCUUUGAUACUGGGUGUCUUGAGUGUGGAAGAGGUGAGUGGAAUUCCGAGUGUAGAGGUGAAAUUCGUAGAUAUUCGGAGGAACACCAGUGGCGAAGGCGGCUCACUGGUCCAUUACUGACGCUGAGGUGCGAAAGCGUGGGGAGCAAACAGG